rnacentral:tRNA from 1 species
GAUGUAGCUCAGCAGCAGAGCACUUGCCUACCAUGCAUGAGGUCCAGGGUUCAAUCCCUGGCACAGCA